rnacentral:rRNA from 1 species
GACGAACGCUGGCGGCGUGCCUAAUACAUGCAAGUCGAGCGAAGCGGGGACGGGUGAGUAUCACGUAAGGAACCUCCGAUAAGCGGGGGACAACAUCCGGAAACGGGUGCUAAACCGCAUACUUAUCGAUGGCCUGCGUGCAUUAGCUCGUUGGUGGGGUAACGGCCUACCGGGCAAUGAUGCAUAGCCGACCGGCGAGGGUAAUAGGCCACAUUGGGACUGAGACACGGCCCAGACGCCUACGGGAGGCAGCAGUGGGGAAUCUUGCACAAUGGGCGCAAGCCUGACGCAGCAAUGCCGCGUGUAUGAAGAAGGCCUUCGGGUUGUAAAGCACUUUCAUCGAGGAGGCGUUACUCAAAGAAGAAGCACCGGCUAACUACGUGCCAGCAGCCGCGGUAAUUC